ACGAACGCUGGCGGCGUGCCUAAUACAUGCAAGUCGAGCGGACAGAUGGGAGCUUGCUCCCUGAUGUUAGCGGCGGACGGGUGAGUAACACGUGGGUAACCUGCCUGUAAGACUGGGAUAACUCCGGGAAACCGGGGCUAAUACCGGAUGGUUGUUUGAACCGCAUGGUUCAAACAUAAAAGGUGGCUUCGGCUACCACUUACAGAUGGACCCGCGGCGCAUUAGCUAGUUGGUGAGGUAACGGCUCACCAAGGCGACGAUGCGUAGCCGACCUGAGAGGGUGAUCGGCCACACUGGGACUGAGACACGGCCCAGACUCCUACGGGAGGCAGCAGUAGGGAAUCUUCCGCAAUGGACGAAAGUCUGACGGAGCAACGCCGCGUGAGUGAUGAAGGUUUUCGGAUCGUAAAGCUCUGUUGUUAGGGAAGAACAAGUACCGUUCGAAUAGGGCGGUACCUUGACGGUACCUAACCAGAAAGCCACGGCUAACUACGUGCCAGCAGCCGCGGUAAUACGUAGGUGGCAAGCGUUGUCCGGAAUUAUUGGGCGUAAAGGGCUCGCAGGCGGUUUCUUAAGUCUGAUGUGAAAGCCCCCGGCUCAACCGGGGAGGGUCAUUGGAAACUGGGGAACUUGAGUGCAGAAGAGGAGAGUGGAAUUCCACGUGUAGCGGUGAAAUGCGUAGAGAUGUGGAGGAACACCAGUGGCGAAGGCGACUCUCUGGUCUGUAACUGACGCUGAGGAGCGAAAGCGUGGGGAGCGAACAGGAUUAGAUACCCUGGUAGUCCACGCCGUAAACGAUGAGUGCUAAGUGUUAGGGGGUUUCCGCCCCUUAGUGCUGCAGCUAACGCAUUAAGCACUCCGCC
rnacentral:rRNA from 1 species